rnacentral:rRNA from 1 species
UCCUACGGGAGGCAGCAGUAGGGAAUCUUCCGCAAUGGACGAAAGUCUGACGGAGCAACGCCGCGUGAACGAAGAAGGCCUUCGGGUCGUAAAGUUCUGUUGUUAGGGAAGAACAAGUACGAUAGUAACUGAUCGUACCUUGACGGUACCUAACCAGAAAGCCACGGCUAACUACGUGCCAGCAGCCGCGGUAAUACGUAGGUGGCAAGCGUUGUCCGGAAUUAUUGGGCGUAAAGCGCGCGCAGGUGGUUCCUUAAGUCUGAUGUGAAAGCCCACGGCUCAACCGUGGAAGGUCAUUGGAAACUGGGGAACUUGAGUGCAGAAGAGGAAAGUGGAAUUCCAAGUGUAGCGGUGAAAUGCGUAGAUAUUUGGAGGAACACCAGUGGCGAAGGCGACUUUCUGGUCUGUAACUGACACUGAGGCGCGAAAGCGUGGGGAGCAAACAGGAUUAGAUACCCUGGUAGUCC